CUCUCCUAUCAUCCAUCAGCAUCCCAUCUCUCUCCCAUCACCACAAGGCAUUACUCUCCUUCCCAUCACCAUUAGACAUCGGCCCUUCCUAUUCCAUCACCCCCUCCAUCUCUCAGCAUAAAUUAAGCAUCAAGACUUCCCUCUCCCAUCACUAUUAGACAGCCUUCCCUCUCGCACCGCUAACGUUAGGCUCCAUGAAACCCUUUCUUACUCCCAUCACUAACAUAUAGGAGAGGAGCCGGAUAGUGAGUGGAGAGAAAGGGGUGAUGGCUGAUUAAAGAGAAACCAUAGGUGGAAAAUGUCCCCCCCUUUACUGCAUUAUAUAAAACAGGGGUCUCAAACCACUGGCCCAUGGACCACGUGUUGUCCCCAAUCAACUUCUUGCGGCCCGUAGUGUAGGAGAUAAACUGCCAGCAACUCAAUUUCCAGACUGUCUGGUUAGACACUGGACACCUGGCAACUGACAGUCUUUUAAUUGAGCUG